rnacentral:rRNA from 1 species
GGGCGUAAAGCGCACGCAGGCGGUCUGUCAAGUCGGAGGUGAAAUCCCCGGGCUCAACCUGGGAACUGCAUUCGAAACUGGCAGGCUUGAGUCUUGUAGAGGGGGGUAGAAUUCCAGGUGUAGCGGUGAAAUGCGUAGAGAUCUGGAGGAAUACCGGUGGCGAAGGCGGCCCCCUGGACAAAGACUGACGCUCAGGUGCGAAAGCGUGGGGAGCAAACAGGAUUAGAUACCCUGGUAGUCCACGCCGUAAACGAUGUCUACUUGGAGGUUGUGCCCUUGAGGCGUGGCUUCCGGAGCUAACGCGUUAAGUAGACCGCCUGGGGAGUACGGCCGCAAGGUUAAAACUCAAAUGAAUUGACGGGGGCCCGCACAAGCGGUGGAGCAUGUGGUUUAAUUCGAUGCAACGCGAAGAACCUUACCUGGUCUUGACAUCCACAGAACUUUCCGAG